rnacentral:lncRNA from 1 species
CAUGGAGGGGAAGCCACUUUGUCUUCUUUCCUCUGUAUUGUAUGUGUGCCUCUCUCUCUUCUGUUCGCUUCUUUACAGGUUUCUACACAAGAAGAUUCAUGACAAAUGACACCCAACUUUGGGGCAUGAGAAAAGUUCUCUCCCCAUGGGGCCUCCCAGUCCACAGGCAGUUUGGGACAACAAAAUCAGCCCUGGCUCGGGCUAUAGUCAACAACUAUUCUCACUGUGUACCCUUUCAGGCCCCUGCUAUGGCCCAGUGUCCUGAGUGGGAGCAGAGACCAAUAUUCUUGUGCAAGGUGGGUGGCCAGGAGACCUACAUGGGUGCUGUGAAUCUGUGAAUCCAGGAGGCCUACAUUCCAAUGCUCUUUGGCAAAUGGAUGU